rnacentral:rRNA from 1 species
GAUGAACGCUAGCGACAGGCUUAACACAUGCAAGUCGAGGGGCAGCGGGGAGGUAGCAAUACUUCCGCCGGCGACCGGCGCACGGGUGAGUAACACGUAUGGAACCUGCCCGUAGCAGGGGGAUAAGCGGAAGAAAUUCCGUCUAAUACCGCGUAAUAAUUCCGAGAGGCAUCUCAUGGAGUUUAAAGGGUAACACCGGCUACGGAUGGCCAUGCGGCGCAUUAGCUAGUUGGCGGGGUAACGGCCCACCAAGGCGACGAUGCGUAGGGGUUCUGAGAGGAAGGUCCCCCACACUGGUACUGAGACACGGCCCAA